GACGAACGCUGGCGGCGUGCUUAACACAUGCAAGUCGAACGGGAAGAAAAGAAAGAGCUUGCUCUUUUUUGGAAUCUAGUGGCAAACGGGUGAGUAACACGUAAAUAACCUGCCUUCAGGAUGGGGACAACAGACGGAAACGACUGCUAAUACCGAAUACCUUCCAAUUUCCGCAUGGAGAUAGGAAGAAAGGGUGGCCUCUACUUGUAAGCUAUCGCCUGAAGAGGGGUUUGCGUCUGAUUAGCUGGUUGGUGAGGUAACGGCCCACCAAGGCGACGAUCAGUAGCCGGUCUGAGAGGAUGAACGGCCACACUGGAACUGAGACACGGUCCAGACUCCUACGGGAGGCAGCAGUGGGGAAUCUUCCGCAAUGGACGAAAGUCUGACGGAGCAACGCCGCGUGAACGAUGAAGGUCUUCGGAUUGUAAAGUUCCGUGAUCCGGGACGAAGGCAUCAGUUGAGAACAUUGAUUGAUGUUGACGGUACCGGAAAAGCAAGCCACGGCUAACUACGUGCCAGCAGCCGCGGUAAUACGUAGGUGGCAAGCGUUGUCCGGAAUUAUUGGGCGUAAAGCGCGCGCAGGCGGCCGUGCAAGUCCAUCUUAAAAGCGUGGGGCUUAACCCCAUGAGGGGAUGGAAACUGCAGGGCUGGAGUGUCGGAGGGGAAAGUGGAAUUCCUAGUGUAGCGGUGAAAUGCGUAGAGAUUAGGAAGAACACCGGUGGCGAAGG
rnacentral:rRNA from 1 species